rfam:Wohlfahrtiimonas chitiniclastica SH04 genomic scaffold scaffold_00002, whole genome shotgun sequence.
CAAUUAUGCUGUCAUCGCCAUUGACAACAAUUAAUUUUAUUUGGAGUUUUAUUUUUUAUGUUAACAACUGAAAAAAAAGCAGCCAUUGUUGCUGAAUUUGCUCGCGGCGAA